AGUGAACGCUGGCGGUAGGCCUAACACAUGCAAGUCGAACGGCAGCACAGUAAGAGCUUGCUCUUACGGGUGGCGAGUGGCGGACGGGUGAGGAAUACAUCGGAAUCUACUUUUUCGUGGGGGAUAACGUAGGGAAACUUACGCUAAUACCGCAUACGACCUACGGGUGAAAGCAGGGGAUCUUCGGCCCUUGCGCGAUUGAAUGAGCCGAUGUCGGAUUAGCUAGUUGGCGGGGUAAAGGCCCACCAAGGCGACGAUCCGUAGCUGGUCUGAGAGGAUGAUCAGCCACACUGGAACUGAGACACGGUCCAGACUCCUACGGGAGGCAGCAGUGGGGAAUAUUGGACAAUGGGCGCAAGCCUGAUCCAGCCAUACCGCGUGUGUGAAGAAGGCCUUCGGGUUGUAAAGCCCUUUUGUUGGGAAAGAAAAGCAGCGGGUUAAUACCCCGCUGUGCUGACGGUACCCAAAGAAUAAGCACCGGCUAACUUCGUG
rnacentral:rRNA from 1 species